CCUACGGGAGGCAGCAGUCGAGAAUCAUUCACAAUGGGCGAAAGCCUGAUGGUGCGACGCCGCGUGGAGGAUGACGGCCUUCGGGUUGUAAACUCCUGUCAGGUGGGAAGAAAAGCCAGUCGGAUAAUACCCGGCAGGAAUUGACGGUACCACCAAAGGAAGCCCCGGCUAACUCCGUGCAGCAGCCGCGGUUAA
rnacentral:rRNA from 1 species